GGAGAGAUGGCUCAGUGGUUAAGAGCACUGACUGUUCUUCUGGAGGUCCUGAGUUCAAAUCCCAGCAACCACA
rnacentral:tRNA from 1 species